UAAGAAUCCAGAUCUGAGAAGGAGCUGUGGAAAGUCUCAUAUUGUGAUGGUUUUAAAGGACAUAUGCAAGUUCUCUGAUACUCUUCAUUUUGGACAAUAUAACUUUAUUCCCACUCUGCGUAUGGGCUGGACCUAUCUCUAAUGUACAGAAUACAGAAAUAUCUAUAAAGUGUGACUCUUGGGGGCAGGUCACACAGGCUGCAUCCUGCCUUCUCAGGUUUCCCGAUAGCGGGUAUUCUGUGAGAACACUCAGCGGAGAAGCCCGGAUGAUGAAGUGCUGGAGCGCCAUCUUGGAAGUGGAUCCCAGCCAGUCCAGCCUUCCGGUCGUCCAGCCCCAGCCAACAUGGGCUGCUACCCCAUGAGCAACCAUAGAGCCAGAAGACCCAGCUGCACCUCUCCCCUGACCUAUGAAAAUUAUGAAAUAAUAAACCAGUACAUUUGGGAGUUAUGCAGAAAGAGUUAUUUCCCCUGCUGAAAAUUUCCCAAAGGUGUGGUCUUCCUACAAGAUGGACUCAGCUUCUUUCCCUCUUGGUGUCAUCAAGGAUUACAAUGCAUGCCUCUUGCAUCUCUUUUGAGGAGGCAGAAGCCACCCCAACUGGCACUUACAGAUCAUCCACAGCACUCAGAAGAAGAUGAGAAAGUUGCUGGUAUAUUUCAGCUUGCUUCAUUAAAAACAACUCUAGGCACUACA
rnacentral:lncRNA from 1 species